AUUGAACGCUGGCGGCAUGCUUUACACAUGCAAGUCGAACGGCAGCGCGGGCUUCGGCCUGGCGGCGAGUGGCGAACGGGUGAGUAAUGCAUCGGAACGUGCCCAGUAGUGGGGGAUAGCCCGGCGAAAGCCGGAUUAAUACCGCAUACGACCUGAGGGUGAAAGCGGGUGACCGAAAGGCCUCGCGCUAUUUGAGCGGCCGAUGUCGGAUUAGCUAGUUGGUGGGGUAAAGGCUUACCAAGGCGACGAUCCGUAGCUGGUCUGAGAGGACGACCAGCCACACUGGGACUGAGACACGGCCCAGACUCCUACGGGAGGCAGCAGUGGGGAAUUUUGGACAAUGGGGGCAACCCUGAUCCAGCCAUGCCGCGUGCGGGAAGAAGGCCUUCGGGUUGUAAACCGCUUUUGUUCGGGAAGAAAUCCUCUGGGCUAAUACCCCGGGGGGAUGACGGUACCGGAAGAAUAAGCACCGGCUAACUACGUG
rnacentral:rRNA from 1 species